CCCUUAGAUGUUCUGGGCUGCACGCGCGCUACACUGAUGCACUCAACGAGUUUACGACCUUGCCCGAUAGGGUUGGGUAAUCUUUUUAAAAUGCAUCGUGAUGGGGAUAGAUUAUUGCAAUUAUUAAUCUUCAACGAGGAAUUCCUAGUAAGCGCGAGUCAUCAGCUCGUGCUGAUUACGUCCCUGCCCUUUGUACACACCGCCCGUCGCUCCUACCGAUUGAGAGCUCAGGUGAAUAAUUCGGACUGCAGCAAUGUUUGGAUCCCGAACGUUGCAGCGGAAAGUUUAGUGAACCUUAUCACUUAGAGGAAGGAGAAGUCGUAACA
rnacentral:rRNA from 1 species